UGGUCCCAGCCUUGAAAUCAGUUCUUACUUAAUAUACACAUGCAAGUAUCCGCACCCCCGUGAAAACGCCCUUAACCCCUCCAAGGGGACAGGAGCUGGUAUCAGGCACAAAAAUUAGCCCAAGACACCUAGCUACGCCACACCCCCACGGGCCCUCAGCAGUGAUUAACCUUGAAAAUAAGCGACAGCUUGAAUCAGUUAAAGUAAAAAGAGCCGGCAAAUCUGGUGCCAGCCGCCGCGGUUACACCACGUGGCUCAAACUGACCCCUUUCGGCGUAAAGCGUGAUUAAAGUAAACACCACAACUGCAAUUAAAUUAGGGUUAGGCUGUGGCACGCUUACCCUCAAGAAACCCAAAAACGAAAGUCAUUGCAACUAUAACUUGAAUUCACGACAGUUAGGACACAAACUGGGAUUAGAUACCCCACUAUGCCUAACCGUAAACUAUUAAUUACACCCCUCAAUCGCCCGGGAACUACGAGCAAAGCUUAAAACCCAAAGGACUUGACGGUACCCCAUAUCCACCUAGAGGAGCCUGUCCUAUAAUCGAUAACCCCCGUUUUACCUCACCAUUUUUAGCCUUUCAGCCUGUAUACCUCCGUCGUCAGCUUACCUCGUGAGCGCCAACUAGUGAGCUCAAUGCCCAUUCGCCAAUACGUCAGGUCAAGGUGCAGCACAUGAAGUGGAAAGAGAUGGGCUACACUAUCUAGAAUAGAUAAUACGAAAGACCACAUAUGAAAUCUGGUCAGAAGGCGGAUUUAGAAGUAAGGAGGGAUCAAACUGCCCCCCUUAACUUGGCACUGGGGUGUGUACACACCGCCCGUCACCCUCUUCAAAGCCCUCACCCACAGUUAAUUACACAAUCCGGCACCCUAGAAGAGGCAAGUCGUAACAUGGUAAGUAUACCGGAAGGUGUGCUUGGUAA
rnacentral:ncRNA from 1 species